rnacentral:tmRNA from 1 species
GGGGCUGUUUUAGGAUUUGACAAAAUUUGCAUAAAUUUUAAAAUGCAUGUCGAGAUUGGUCUCGUAAAAAAUCCUAUAAUUAUAUAAUUGCAAAUAAAAACUUGAAUUACCUAAAAUCAAAAGAUACUAAAACUUUUGAAUUAUUAGCAGCUUAGAUUGAAUAGUUGUAAUCGUACUUAAAAUUUUUGCAUUUUUAAAAAAAAUGCGUUUUCCAUAGAACUAUUUUUGCUUCUAUUCAAAAAUAGUCUUUUAUUUAGCUUUUAUUAGUAGAAUAAACAUGUAGAUUUUUGAAAUUAAAGAAUUUUGGACGCGGGUUCGAAUCCCGCCAGCUCCAA